GUUUACAGAGGAGAACGGGGUUUAUUUAACACGGUUACAGAGGAGAACCGCGUUUAUUUAACACGGUUACAGAGGAGAACGGCGUUUAUUUAACACGUUUACAGAGGAGAACGGCGUUUAUUUAACACGUUUACAGAGGAGAACGGCGUUUAUUUAACACGUUUACAGAGGAGAACGGCGUUUAUUUAACACGGUUACAGAGGGGAACGGGGUUUAUUUAACACGUUUACAGAGGGGAACGGCGUUUAUUCAACACGUUUACAGAGGAGAACCGCGUUUAUUUAAGACGUUUACAGUGGAGAACGGCGUUUAUUUAACACGUUUACAGAGGAGAACGGCGUUUAUUUAACACGUUUACAGAGGAGAACGGGGUUUAUUUAACACGUUUACAGAGGAGAACCGCGUUUAUUUAACACGUUUACAGAGGGCAACGGGGUUUAUUUAACACGUUUACAGAGGAGAACGGCGUUUAUUUAACACGUUUACAGAGGGGAACGGCGUUUAUUCAACACGUUUACAGAGGAGAACCGCGUUUAUUUAAGACGUUUACAGUGGAGAACGGGGUUUAUUUAACACGUUUACAGAGGCGAACGUGGCUUUGGGUUUUCUGACGUCUUCAGGACAGAGGGGUUUUAAAUGAAAUUCACGUGAGAGAAAAGGAGAGUAACUUUUCAGCUUUGCUGACGUUCUGCAGCGUUAAAUGUAACUAUAACCGGAUAAAAAGUACGAUGUGAUGUUCUUUCGUGAAUAAAAAUGUCCCAGCGCUUCUGGACAUGCGGUUAUGGGAGAAUAAUCCGCAGUGGGGUGGU
ensembl:lncRNA